rnacentral:tRNA from 1 species
AUGUAGCCAGGGGAAUCAGGGGAGGGUUUGGAAAAUCCACCCAUGCGGGGAGAUAUAUUU